AGGGCGAUGAUGCAUAGCCCGAGUUGAGAGACUGAUCGGCCACAUUGGGACUGAGACACGGCCCAAAACUCUACGGGGAGGCAGCAGUAGGAAUUCUUCCAACAAUGGGACGCAAGUCUGAUGGAGCAACGCCGCGUGAGUGAAGUAAGGUUUUCGGAUACGUAAAAGCUCUGUUGUUGGUGAAGAAGGAUAGAGGUAGUAACUGGUCCUUUAUUUGACGGUAAUCAACCAGAAGUCACGGCUAACUACGUGCCAGCAGCCGCGGUAAU
rnacentral:rRNA from 1 species